rnacentral:rRNA from 1 species
AUUGAACGCUGGCGGCAUGCUUUACACAUGCCAGUCGAACGGCAGCGCGGGCUUCGGCCUGGCGGCGAGUGGCGAACGGGUGAGUAGUGCAUCGGAACGUGCCCAGUAGUGGGGGAUAGCCCGGCGAAAGCCGGAUUAAUACCGCAUACGACCUGAGGGUGAAAGCGGGGGACCGAAAGGCCUCGCGCUAUUGGAGCGGCCGAUGUCGGAUUAGCUAGUUGGUGGGGUAAAGGCUUACCAAGGCGACGAUCCGUAGCUGGUCUGAGAGGACGACCAGCCACACUGGGACUGAGACACGGCCCAGACUCCUACGGGAGGCAGCAGUGGGGAAUUUUGGACAAUGGGGGCAACCCUGAUCCAGCCAUGCCGCGUGCGGGAAGAAGGCCUUCGGGUUGUAAACCGCUUUUGUGCGGGAAGAAAUCCUCUGGGCUAAUACCCCGGGGGGAUGACGGUACCGGAAGAAUAAGCACCGGCUAACUACGUG